rnacentral:lncRNA from 1 species
CAUCCGUACCGGCAAUAUCGAGAUGGAGGCCAACACCAUGGACGGCUGGAGCUGCGAGUAUAUUUGUCCAAGAUAUGGCAGUGUUCGUAGUCAUGGUUCUGGUAACUGUCUAUGAUCUCCAUAUCUUAACUAUUUGUGAAGACGGAAAUGCAAGUAAUAUUAUUCUUAGAUGCUCUUGCCCUUUUGAUUCGUAAAUUGCUAAACUGACAACUGAGCUCUCACUACUUGUAUUCAUAAAUUGCUGAAUUACCCACAUGAACUCUUGCUAUCACAGUCCGUAAAUUGCUGAAUUUCUCAUUAUGUCGCUUGCACUGUUCCAUAUGAGCAAUGUCUAUUGUGCUUUUAACCCGUCAACUAAGUAGGUACUAUGUUAUUAGUGGCUUGCUUUUAGGCCACAACCACAUCUGUUUAUUUUUCUCUGAGUAUGUUUAUUUUGUUAUGUGACCUGAAGUAGCAUAUUGAGUUCUAAGGGAAUACUUUCAGGUUAGAACUUUUCUUUGUAUUAGUCGUAAUCUAGCCGGGCAACCAAUGUAUCGGAAGUAAUGACCCUUUGUAUGAAGUAAUGUUUCUUAUUUGUAGGGCAACCCAUCACUAUUUGCAUCAUGUCAAUGCAUUGUGUAUUAACGGUUCAUUUGGUUAUUUUCUUUGUAGAUAUACAUGGAUGAUUAUAUGGGUGCGUGGCAAGUAUACUACAAUGAUGAUGAUGAUGAUGAUGAAGAUGAUGUCUGUUUUCAGUUUUAGUUAUGAUGGUUGUUUUCAGUUUUAGUUAAGUUGUAGGGAUGCUGUUCCUGUUGGAUGAUGUUCCUUGGUUAGGUUUUAGUUAAGUUGUAGGGUUGUUGAUGGAUGCUGUCAGUUUAACUUUCGUUGUCAAGAGAAUGUUUAGAUUAUGCAUCACAUUUGGAUGUUAUUCCUCCUGUAAUAUCAACUAUUGUAAUCCCA